GCCGUUGUUGGUAUUUCCCUCGCAUAGAUUCGAUACAUUAGGGAGUUAGAUUAGAAU
rnacentral:sRNA from 16 species